GGGGCGGGGCUGAUGGCGGCCCCGCGGCUGGGGCACCCGCCGGGCGGGGGGAAACCGCACUCGUCCCCCUGCACUGCUCCGCUGCGGUGUUCUCCACUAAGACGAGCAGCAAAGAAUGAAUACCUUUGACUGACGUCUUGCUGACUGAUAUUCAUGAAACAAACUCUGUUCAGCAAAUGUUGAUCUCAAUCCAUGAAGAGCAUGCCACACUUGGCAGCAGCUGUAUAAGACUUGCUGAUCCAGGACAUAGCCAAAUGAGUCAGAGGCACUGCAGGCUUUAAUCAGCCCACCUGACGUCAAACCUCUCCAUCAGAGGAAAGUGCCGCCUGGAAAUGUCAACAUGCCCAAAUGGAAAGGCCAGAAGGAUUUCUUGUGAAUCUGGACCUUGCUUUUAACCCUUGGCAGUACAAGGAACAUCACUCCUCCCACUCCCCUGACCAGCCUGUGUGUGCUGUAUCUGCUUGAUUUUGAACAGAGAAGAUUCUCUUGGAUGUGGCCAAGAUGCAAGUGUCCAACUUCUCUAGCAUUCUUGACAGGUCAAGUGGCACAGAUCUGCAUGGAUUGCUCUCUAGUCAUUCAUGUGGCUAACUGGGAGUUUGGAGUUAACUCUAUGUGGCACAUACAGUGUGUCAAAGCAGAGUUGUUGCCACCCCUUGCCCUGACUCAUCCAGUCCAGUUCCAGCAGCUCUUCAGCUACCUCCUGUACCAAAGCCAUUUACUUCCCACUCCUUGAUGCAAGGUAUCUCCUUGGUGUAAAAUUCAGUCAGAGUGUGCAGCGCUUCAUCCUUCCUAGGGAAAGAUUGGAGUUGUAGGAGAUGAUUAGGCAAUACAUCCCCCUAAGAAUGACUCUUCAGGUUGUCUCCAGCCCUGUGAAGCCUGCUUGGGUCCCUUUCACAAGUAGGUCUUGCAACCAUGAAGGCCAAAAGCCUAGUAAAUAAAAAGUAGUGCAUAGGAAACAGAGGUGGCUACCCUCUUCUGUUGUCCUGCAGCUUCCCAUUCACACAGUGUUUUAAAAUGCUAACAAACUGCUGGAAGGAGAUGCCCUCAUACUGAAGGCAUUACUCUGCACCCAGUCAGCCUGAAAGUUGUCUGAUUCCCCAGGGAGAUUACCAGCCUAUGCUCUUUCUGAGGUAUAGAGCAGGAAGGGGAGCUUGUGUGUGACAAGGCAAAGGAACAGUCUUAGCUUGCCAUGAAGAAAUGAAGGAAUUACAGAGAUUUUCCUCCUAUAUCAGUUACUUUCAAAGUGGUGAGUUUUCAGUUCUCAUAUUUUCUUACAGUACCCAUUUACUGUUUGGGGGCUUUGCUUUCUGACAUACUGGCAGAAAGACAUAUAGCCGCAGGCAGCUCAGCCACAUUCCAGGAAGCUAAAGGGGUUCCGUGAAGGGAUGCUCCUACGGUCUGGUGUCUUGUACUCAAGGCUUUCCUUUUCCUAGGGCUUUCCUCCUUCCUUGUCUGUCACUCACUCCUUGCUUGCAAGGCUGAUUUAAAUCUAUCCAAGGGCCCCAAGUUUACCUCAGAAAGAAUAAUAAUUGCAUGCUGAGCUCUGUGGCUUCCCUUUCAUUCCCCACAUAGCAUUAGGGUGCUCACUGAAACCACAGCAUUCAUGGAUCCUUGCCAUAUGCAAACAUGCAAUUAAUAUGCUCUUCACUUUCCCCUCUACUUCCUAAGCAAGAUGGGGGGAAAAAGCACAAGUUGGGGUACACAUUUCCUUAUGACACACACAUGUGUUUCUGCACUUCUCUGCAGUGAUCCAGCGUGGUUCACACCUACCUGGAUUUGAUGGUCAUUAAAGAAGUGUGUCUGCUGCAGACUUUAAUUUGAUGUUCUGUGUAGCUGCACACAAAGCAACGUGGAGAACACAAAUCAUUCCCUCUUUCAGUUGUGGCAGCAGAUCUAUGAACACUCUACUUUCACAGGUGUUACCCCCUUCUAUGUUUUUAGCAGGGAGCUGCAAUGGGUGUGAUCUCUGUUCUGGCUCCCCUCUCUGUCCCACUGCUGCUUGCUGGUGGUGGGAACAGGUGUGCUGGGUACCUGGCUGGGAGUGCACACAGCAGGAGGAAGGAAAUGGAAAGCAGCUGAAGCUAGCUGGAGAGAGAAGUGUGUGUGCAAGAGAGAGAGUUUAAACCAGCUGCUGAAAGGAAAUCAAAAAGGAGACAGAUUUCCUGGAUGAGGCAGGGCUGUGGAUCAGAGGGAAAAGAGGCAUCAGCAAUUAUAAGUCCUUCCUCAAAAGUUAACUUUUGCUAGAAAAUGUUUUGCUGUAUCAAUCCCUAUCUUAACUUUUUCCUGGGUUUUUAAUGGUCCCAUAAAAAACUAAAUGAAGAAAUCACAGCCGAAGGUUAGAUAUGUAACUACUUGUGCCAUCACACAUGAUCUGACUCCUAAGAGCCUGUUUGGGGAUUGUAGUACCUCUUCUUUGAAUUAGGCUGAAAGUCCCAUUUCCAUCCUCACCUUGUUCUCUGUGGGCCUUCAGGAGCAGAGGGGACCUACAAUGCAGCAGUUGCUCCCUCUGUCCAUGAUGAAAACAGUGAGCAAAACCGCACCAAAGCAAUAUGCAGACAAGUAAUCAAAUCCAGAAAAAAGACAAAGCAAAAUGAAGGCAGGACUGUUGCAAAGAGCUCCUGAAGGGCCAAAGUAUGGAGCCUGCAUGACUCCAGAAAACUUCCAUGGCUAGGAGGACAGCUUGUGGCAGAAACUGUCUAUUCCAUCCAUAAGAACACCAAUGCUGGAAAAAUAAACAAAUGGUAUCUUUCACAGACUUGAAGUAAAAGCUUGUCUUUGGUGGCAGUCUUAAAGAGCCAGCCUGACCCCCAAAGCAAAGCAGUUCUUACAGCAUGAAUCAUUCCCAUACCAGCUGUCCAGGCUGCAAACACUACACAGAUGACCCCUUCUGUAACAACAAAGCCUGCAUGCAGCAGACUAAAAAUCACCGACAUUUCACCCUACAUUCCUCAAGAAACACUCAUCCUCAAAGAGUCUGUGAGACCUCCUGGCACAGUCCUGGGUGGGGGAACCAAAAGCUUCAGCCUGGCUUGUAGCAGAGUGGCUUGUAGCAGUGUUCAAGCCCAGGGCCUGCUUACCUUGUCUUGUGUGUCCUGCUCACAACAAUGCAGGAUGAAGGCAAAGCAAAUACAAAGUGGAACAAUGUACGAUGAGAGACUUGCAGUUCUUACUCCAUGUACAUAAAGGCAAGCAGUGGGAGCAGGACCAGGCAGGAUGGAGCACAGGAGAGCAGGAUCCCUUUCUUACUAGAAACGGACUGAUGAUUCACUUCUCAGCAUGAUAAAAUUAGCUUGGUUGGUCAUACAUGUGUAUUUGCAGCACCAAAUAUGGUGAGAGACCAGGAAGACUUACCUGAUUAUCAGUUUGACUUGUUCAGCCUGAACAUAUUUUAUUGCUAUUUCAAUCUCCUGCUGUAAUCAGAUUGCAAAUAAAUCUAAGUAUAAAAUCAGAGAAAACUGGCCUAGGAAGGAAUUUGAAUGAUCAUGUAAUUCAGCCCCUGCCCCAAGGCUGCUUCCUGCUUUGCCAUAUCUGUGUCCCAAGAGAUGGCUGCAGAACUUGGUUUUAAAGAUGCUCUAGUAAGGGUGAUGCACCAUUCAAAUGUUGCAAGCGCUGCAGUCGCCAGGCCUCUGUUUCAGCAGUGCUGCUCAGCCUGUUCUUUUUCACCUGCAGGCACCCAUGGCCAGCUGCAGCAGCGCAUCUGAGUUUUUCUGAAAUGCCAUCACCUCCCCUCAGCCAUCAACCUGUCUCCAGGUCUCUUCUGGAGCACAAAACUGCAUGCCUGCAGAAAUAACUCUCUUUUUUGGCUUUGGAGGGUCAGCAGCAACACUCUUUGACCACCUAGAUGACAUUUCCAUUGCCUUUAAUGAACUGCACUCAUGUCUGACAUAAGCCAAGUGUCCAUUUCAAAGCUCUACAGAAAUGCUAGGGAUGAGGGUUCCCAUCAGAGCUCUCCAAGAUGUGACAGAGCAGCUUUCCUGUUCAACACCAAAACGGGAUAUUUGUUAUGAUUCUUCCUUGCCUGACAAGGUGCAGCAGUGAUAGGCAGAGAACCUGCAUCU